rnacentral:lncRNA from 1 species
AUGGAAGCCGUUGUCAGGUUGAUCGACGUCGCCCAUAGCAAGCUUCAAGUGCUCGGAACUUUGUUUCGACGGAUACACUUGGGCAUGCCGGCGGCCAUCGCAAUGGACCUCUUCGGCGACCCGGCCACCGUAGGAGUCAGCCCCACCGAGAUCCUCGAGGAGGCCCGCCGCGAGAUCUCACUGAGCGGCGCUCGCCACGGGAAGACCAUGCACGUCUUCGCUCGCUACGUC